rnacentral:piRNA from 1 species
UGCCAGCAAGCCAGUGGACGACCCUUCCAA